rnacentral:tRNA from 1 species
GAUGUUAGGGCUCAGUUGUUAGAGUGCUUGCCUCACAUGCACAAGGUCCUGGGUUCAAUCCCCAGUACCACCA